UACGAAGGGGGCUAGCGUUGCUCGGAAUCACUGGGCGUAAAGAGCUCGUAGGCGGUCUGUCGCGUCGAUCGUGAAAACUUGGGGCUUAACCCUGAGCUUGCGGUCGAUACGGGCAUGACUGGAGUUCGGCAGGGGAGACUGGAAUUCCUGGUGUAGCGGUGAAAUGCGCAGAUAUCAGGAGGAACACCGGUGGCGAAGGCGGGUCUCUGGGCCGUAACUGACGCUGAGGAGCGAAAGUGUGGGGAGCGAACAGG
rnacentral:rRNA from 1 species